rnacentral:ncRNA from 1 species
CAAAGGUUUGGUCCUGACUUUACUAACAACUUUAUCUGAACUUACACAUGCAAGUAUCCGCACCCCCGUGAGAAUGCCCCACAGUUCCCCGCCCGGGAACAAGGAGCUGGUAUCAGGCACACUCUCCCGUUAGCCCAUGACACCUUGCUUAGCCACACCCUCAAGGGAACUCAGCAGUGAUAAACAUUAAGCCAUAAGUGAAAACUUGACUUAGUUAAAGCUAAGAGGGUCGGUAAAACUCGUGCCAGCCACCGCGGUUAUACGAGAGACCCAAGUUGUUAGACACCGGCGUAAAGAGUGGUUAAGUACCCUUACUUACUAAAGCCGAACACCUUCAAAGCUGUUAUACGCACCUGAAGACAGGAAGUUCAAUCACGAAAGUGGCUUUAUACCAACUGAACCCACGAAAGCUAGGGUACAAACUGGGAUUAGAUACCCCACUAUGCCUAGCCUUAAACAUCGAUGACAUUUUACAACUGUUAUCCGCCCGGGUACUACGAGCAUCAGCUUAAAACCCAAAGGACUUGGCGGUGCUUUAGAUCCACCUAGAGGAGCCUGUUCUAGAACCGAUAACCCCCGUUCAACCUCACCCUUCCUUGUUUAUCCCGCCUAUAUACCACCGUCGUCAGCUUACCCUGUGAAGGUUUAAAUAGUAAGCAAAAUUGGCACAGCCCAAAACGUCAGGUCGAGGUGUAGCGUAUGGAAGGGGAAGAAAUGGGCUACAUUCCCUAACCCAGCGCAUACGGACGACACAUUGAAACACGUAUCCGAAGGAGGAUUUAGCAGUAAGCAGAAAAUAGAGCGUUCCGCUGAAACCGGCCCUGAAGCGCGCACACACCGCCCGUCACUCUCCCCGAGCUUACAUUUUUUUAUAAAUAAAACCUCAUAACUGCAAAGGGGAGGCAAGUCGUAACAUGGUAAGUGUACCGGAAGGUGCACUUGGAAAAAU